rnacentral:lncRNA from 1 species
UGCUGAUUUCUACGGUUGUUACCAAGUUUAGGAUUUUGUAAGAAAUGAGAUAUCUGCUGAUGUCCUUAUCCCCACGUGGCGCUGUGCUGCAGGUAUUGGCUCGAUUGCUCAUGAUGUAUGUGAUUCUAAUACAAGUGGUCAGCAGGCAGCUGUGAUGAAACCAUAAGUCUGGCCGUGAUGAUUUGAUGACAGCUGCAUCGCUUAAUUUUGUAUUCGGUACAGGCUGUUGGUUGGCAAUUCUGACGGAAACUAUUCGGCAUUGUGUGGAUCGGUGUAGAUGGAGUGAACUUACGAUUGGGUAACGCAAAUGACUUCGAAAGCAGUAUUCGCCAACACGAGUUUCAGUCCGUUUCAGUGUUUGUCUGUGAAUUUUGUGAUGCUGGCCUGCCUGGAAUUCAUCGAAUGUGGCGGAAUAACUGGUGGACCUUCGAAGGUGGGCUGUGCGGUCUUUAAAAAAAAUCAGGAUAUGUUUGUGCUUUCUGACGCAGCAACAAUGAAUACUGUCAAUCUAAAAUUGGGAGGAAUAGCAUGUGGAGCAUACGUGGUGCUUACUGCCUAGUUGAAUUUAAGGCGACGUUCGUCAAACUGGGUAAUAAAAAAAGCUAAUAGAUAAAUUUGGCGUUUUGCCCAAAAUGCUCGAGCCAAAAAAGUUAAUUGGGUUGUUGUUGGAGAUGAUAGAUAUACGGUGAAGAAUCUUGUCGAUAACAGUCGCAUUGGAAUCUCGUCAUGCGGAUUAGCCUUUAAUGUAAAAUUCUUUGCGCGCAUCCACAAGACAACUUCAAAAAGCAAGGAAAGUACCAUUUACAUUCGCUGACCCUGCUGGAUAUGACCGCAUUCAACCCUCCAGGAUUCAAUUACCAUCCAGAAAAUGUACCCGUCGUCUAGUCAUCGUAUUCGAAAUGUGGACCCUGUUUGAAGAACAAAAAAUUGCUCAACAGCUCACCAUCUUCAGCUUCAUCUGCAUCAUCCUCACAUCUUUGACAACUUCUAACUUUCUUGCCCAAAAAUUGUGGCAUAACAUCUCCGACAUGGCAACAACCAGUUCGCAAUUAUGGUUAACCAUAGCGUCGUGCUGCUGUUGGGUGUUGUAUGGUUGAUGGCUGGGUAGAUCACUGGUGUACCGAUGUCUCCCUGGUAAGGUGGACACCAAACCACAACGCCGUUACCUAAUAUCACAGCAACAACUUACGUUAUUACAAGUUACUACACCGAGGCCCUCAAGUACUACACCAUCGAGGCACCGGAGUAUUAUACCAUAACUAACGCGGCCCCGAAGUAUUACUCUCCCCCGAGCUACACCACCAAGGUACCGGAGUACUACACGAAUACGUAUGCUGCCCCAACCUACUACACCGAGCUACUACAACGAGGCUCCAGCUGAUUACUAAACCAAAACGGUUGUAACCUACACCAAAGCGCCCAAGAACUACUCUGCCCCGAUCUACACAACCACAACUUAGGCGGUCAAGUAUUACGCAGCCCUAACUUAAUACACAGAAGCUGCCUUUUCGUACUACGAUGAAAAGAAAUACUACACUGAUGCUCCAGUUUGACACACUGCAACCUAUGCUACACCUAGCUACAACACCGAAGCUCCCAAGUACUACACUGAAGAAGCCGCAUAUUACACAAGUCAACCACGUCCGCCGCCCUGGUUUACUUCACCGAGGAACUCAAGUAUUACUCUGCUCCAAGCUACUACCAAACUAAGGCUCAUAAGCAUUACACCAGCAUCCUGAUUAUUACAUCACUACUUACGCUGCUCCGACCUAUACACCGAAGCUCUAAAGUAUUCCUAUGCCCUGAGUUACUAAACUACUAGAGCACCAAUAUAUUACACUACAACCUUU